UUUUAAUGCCUCAAAAUAGUCAAAAAUCUGUUCAUAAAUAAUUUUCAUGCUUUAGAUUCUCUCAUCAUUACAUAGAAUUCAACAAUAAGCCAACAAGUUCCAGAUGGCACAGGUCCCCUAUAGAAAGAAAACAUAUACUUUUCAUUAGCAGCAUUAUGUAUUCUUGUAUUAUUCUUUGGUCAAGCUACAUUUAAAACAUUUGUAUCUAAGAAAUCUUCCUAUGUAUAAUUUAUCAUCACUAUAACUUAAAUCGAUGCUUGCAAUACCCAACCUAAGAUGUAGCCUACAAUUGAUUUUGAGCCACCUAUAACUCAAUGAGAUUCACCAUAUAAGGAGAGCAACCACAGAACCUGUUCAGAACUGCAAGAGCAAAGA